UUACAUACACACACAUACACACAUACAUACACACACAUAAACACACACACACAUACACACACUUACACAAACACACCCACACAGAUACACACAAGUAUAAGAAAUAAAUUACGAAAUGGCAACGCUGUUAACAAUCCACAAGUGUUCUAACAACUUGAAACAUUUGUUUGCGAUGCACUUCAUUCAACAUACGCUUACCAUCGUUCAGCAUUCUGUCUUGGUUCGAGCUUACUUCAACAGCUUCACGAUCUCCAAAGGCUUUGAAACAUGAGGACGAUUUUGCUGAUGACACUCCUAAUACUGGUUGGGACCACUGCCGGCUGGUCAGUGUUCGAUUCUGGCAGCCAAGCAGACGCCAGUGA
rnacentral:lncRNA from 1 species